rnacentral:rRNA from 1 species
GAUGAACGCUGGCGGCGUGCCUAAUACAUGCAAGUCGAGCGAACAGACAAGGAGCUUGCUCCUCUGACGUUAGCGGCGGACGGGUGAGUAACACGUGGAUAACCUACCUAUAAGACUGGGAUAACUUCGGGAAACCGGAGCUAAUACCGGAUAAUAUUUUGAACCGCAUGGUUCUAUAGUGAAAGAUGGUUUUGCUAUCACUUAUAGAUGGAUCCGCGCCGCAUUAGCUAGUUGGUAAGGUAACGGCUUACCAAGGCAACGAUGCGUAGCCGACCUGAGAGGGUGAUCGGCCACACUGGAACUGAGACACGGUCCAGACUCCUACGGGAGGCAGCAGUAGGGAAUCUUCCGCAAUGGGCGAAAGCCUGACGGAGCAACGCCGCGUGAGUGAUGAAGGGCUUCGGAUCGUAAAACUCUGUUAUUAGGGAAGAACAAAUGUGUAAGUAACUGUGCACGUCUUGACGGUACCUAAUCAGAAAGCCACGGCUAACUACGUG